CAACCUGAAUUAAUUUGACAAGCCAGAAGUUCUCCAUUCCUGUUUCAGAACCAAUUUAAAUCAGGAAGCAGGAGGGCAGGCUUAGGAAACAAGGAGCUCAGUGCUAAUGCACUGAGCUCCAUUAGCCAGUCAAAGAACUCAUUUGGAACUAACAAGAGCUCAGCUAUUCAAAUCUUAAUCAACAUUACUAAUGAAGCUUACACAAUUAAAAAUAUAUUAAGGUGGCACAAGGUGGUUCCACAGGGCUCGUGUUGUAUAAUCAACAUUGUCUGAUUAGAGGCACUGUGUAAACUAAUGAAGUUUACACAGUUAAGGAGUAUUUCAUUGUGGUUCCACACAACUCAGUUUUCUCCCAGGUUGAUUGUCUACAUGAAGCUGCUGGCGAAAUCAUCUGUAAACCUGUAUUUACAUCCGUAUCAUCAAUACCAACAAAAAUGAUUCUACUUCUAUUUUGUGAUUUUCUCUGGCUCUUUCUAUUCUGCUGUCUCCAGAAACUGCAACGUUCACCAUCAAGACUUCUAUCUUUCACACCAGGCAGGUGCUUGCAUGUUUAACCAGGGGUGGGCUGCUACAGGUUCACCCAGGUUCAGGAGAACAAGUAGCUAACGUUAUUGCCGGUUUGAAGAACCUGCCUCCGACUGACCCCGCCCACCACACUCUGCCCAUCACCCCACCCCACUUCACCCAGGAGUCUCCACAUUUUGGGUGUGAGUUAUGAGUCUACAGUAGAACUGCAGAGGAAUAGUAGAACAGAAACUGAAAGAUACAGGACACACUGGAGCAUAA